rnacentral:lncRNA from 1 species
UCGGGAGGGAGGGGGUCUGGGCAGCUUCCUGCUUGUGACCGCGCGUGGGGGCGGCUGGUGUGAGGGGGUCUUGGAGCCCUACUGGAGGGCCAGCCCUGGUGUUUGCGUAUGUGAUCUUGACCGUGGUUGUGCCCCUGUGUGUCGGUGCAUGUGCACAUGGGGCCCAAAUCCUCUUGCACACGUGUAGCCAGCACUGUGCAGGUAUGUCCUGUCUUGCCCCGCCUCUGCCAGUUAACAGCCUGAGGGCCUGUGGGGCCAGCCACCGGUUUAUGGGGCAGUCUGUGGACAUACUAAUUCAUGUCACCUCUGACCCUGAGUGUGCAUGUCCCCGGUUGAGGUUGAUGUGUAGGAAUGUGUGGCUGGCCAAAUGAGAAUUUUCAGUGUCCCUGGUGGCAGGUGUGUGUCUUUGCAUGUGUGUUCCAACACUGGCCUGAGAAUCUGUGUCAGUCCCAGCAUGGGUGUCCAGGGCGUGUCUGGAUGUGGGUGGUGGUAUGCCAGUGUUCCGGUGGUGAGGACAAAGUGUGUGAAUGGUUCCUUACAGUCUGACUGCAUGAAACACCUUUGGACUAGGCAGAUAUGAGCCUCUCUGCCUGGCCCCUAGAUGGGGACAGAAAAGCUUGAAGGGAAAGAAGUGAAGGGGUAGAGGGAAGUAAGGAUGAGAGUCACCAAGAGGAGGAGAGCAAAGAGCAAGGGAGAGAGAAUGUCUGGAGAAUGGGAAUCUAAGAGCACUGAGCUGGACUUAGAGAAAAGAGGGCAGAGGACAGGGAAGUUGGGAGGUAGCUGAAGAGCCAGGCCUCUCUGUGGAGCAUUCUGAGAGGGUGGAGAGAAGUGGAUGCAGGAGGGCCUAGGCUGCCCCGUCUGUAGGAGGCUAUCCAGUCACAGAGGCUGCUUCCCAGUGAGGCCUGUCACCACGGAGACUGCAGAGCGUGCCCUCCCCCCAGGUUCUCUGCUCCCUCUCUAGCCCAGCUCCUCAUCUUCCUCUGGCACCCUCUCUCCCUGGCUCCCUUUGAGAGCUGUCAGCUGGAUAUGGAGAAGAAAGGCUACACGUAGGGUAGGGAUUUGGGGGAUUGGAGGGUAGGAGAAAUGUUUGUGGGUGAUGUCAAGAUUAGAGACAUUGGAGAGGCGGAGUCCAAGCCCUUGCUCUGUGUGUGUGUGUGUGUGUGUGUGUGUGUGUGUGUGUGUGUGUGUGCAGGGUGUGUACUGUGUGGGUGUAUGCACAAUGCCUAUGUUACGGGUCUGUGUAGGUGGCUGUUGUGUGUGUGCUUGAGUGUAUCUAUCAUGCAGGGAUGGGACAUAGAGACCCAGCAUGGCAGUGUGUGCUUUUCAGGUUUGCUGUGUGUACAUGGCUGUGUGCUUUUCUCUGUCUAUGUCACCGCAGGCAGCACUAAUGACAGGACACCCCAUGUUCCUGUCAGUCUGCCCUCUCCUGUGCUUUUUGCCUCGUUCUUGUGUCAGAGUCCUUGGGAACAUGUGUGUGGCCUCCAUGCACCUAUGACUUAUUUUUGAGGUCCUGAUAUGGUGUGUCUUUCCUCCAGGAACUGUACAAAGCAAUUAGCUGAUUUUGCCCCCUCUGCAAAUGCUUGUAGUUCCAAAAGAAGGUUUUAGUGGAUUUAAACUUAAGGCCUCUAUGCCUUUAUUAGAGAUGCAUGUGUGUGAAAAUAAUGGCUGACCCAGGUUCCCUGGAGUGAGAGUAAGGCAGCCAUACCUGAGAGAUGCAGAAGAGUGGAUGAGGAGGGAGCCAUGCGGGGCUCUGGGUGACACAAGGCUCACUAACACAUUUGCUCCUCAUUUUUUUGUUUUAUUUGUUCUGUUUUCCUGGUAGCCAUCACAGAUGCUGGUGAUUAGAGUCAUGGAAAAGCUAGAAGAAAGCUGGGGGGGGGGGUGUUGAGAGGAGGGAGCUGUCCCGAGUCAAUGAAUGUGUUUGUACUGUUAAUGUGAAGGAUGAGUGUUUGUGCUUUAUCUGACCAUGGUCAGGAUGUAUGUGUACACGGUGCAGGGGCGACCCAGGGGGCUACAGCCUACUUAAGCAUGGGUCUCAGGGUUUACAUGUCCAUUUAUGUAGGGUACUGCCCACAUGAUGGCCGCAGAGUCCACUCCAGCAGUUCUCAUGUGGCUGUCUGAGUUCAAGUGUGUCUACCCCAUGGCAGUGCUCACAAAUGUCUAGGCAUGUGGGGGUCCCCAUGCUCAAGGCUGUCUGUACGUCUCCCCGAAGCACAUACUUUCCUAUUAUUUCUCCUAAUGCGGCUGUGAUAUACAUGGUUGCUGUAUUUUUGUGCUCUACACACGAUUCCUGGGAGACUGAGAGGGUUCUCGUCUCGGGAUCCAGACUUGCUUGUGUGUGCAAACCUGAAUCUGUCCGUAAAAGGAGCAGGGAAGGACCGGCUCUGAGGCAGUGGGCAGUCUGGAAGCAGACAUGAAAAUGUAGUGGGGUUUUCACUGUUUUCUUCUGGAACCUAGCGGGUUAACAAGCCGUUCUUCCGGUCGCACCCCCCCCCCCCAGCCUGUAGCUUCUUGUUGCCAUGGAGAUGGUGGCCCCGCCCCUGAUGCAGCACCAGCCCCCCCAUUGGCUGCAGUGGUGACUGUGGGGCUGAGGGGGGAGCCCAGGCCUGGGCAGCCAUUCUGGAGCUGGAGCCGGAGCUUGGCAUCCCCCCACUUUCAUUCUCCUUCAGCCCUUCGGCCCCUCCAAAUUCCCUAGCAGCAGACCUUCGGCUCCCUUCCUCUAAGCUCCUGUUCCUUCGAUUCUUGACAGGCUGAGCUUCAUCCGCAUUCACCUCCCCCCCACCCCCCCUUCUCGCCAGCCUUUACUUGGGAGUCCCCAGAAUCCCACUGCCCUUCCUCCCCACUCCCCUGCAUUCUUUUCUUCUCCAACCAUUCACUAGCACUGCAGUGCACGUGGAACCGGCUCUUCUGCCCGCUCCCUAUCGGUCCCUUCCUCCGAUCUUCUGUUCCCCUCACUCAGCACAGGUCUCUUCUGAGACCUCCCCCUCCAGUCCUGGGAGGGGGUCAUGGGAGGCAGCCCUGGACCUCCAGACAGACAGGGUCUCUGGGAGGUGUGGGGCAGGGGGAGGAUGUGCCUAGCUGGGAAAAGAGGAAAGCCCAUCCAUGGGCAAUGACCUUUAACCUAUCUCCCCAAGCAAGCCCCUUCUUUUGGGUGGGGGACAGGCAAACUGAGGCUCCCUGGGCCGUGGGUAAUCUUCAUUAGGGAGGUUUCACUGACCCUCCUGACUAUGCCCCCCUGCUGACUGACUGCCUAUCCAAGUCAUGGGCUUAAGGCCUCCCACCCCGACCCCGUCAGGGGGCUCCGGCUCAGGUUCCUUGCCCCCUCCUUCCCACCGCCAGCCUCUCCGCCGCCGCUGCUCUUCUUGCUGCUUUCCGGGGGAAUACCACUUGGGUCGCUCGAGGAGGAAGAGUGUCCCAGGGGGGAAACAGUACAGCAUGGAGGCCGCCCCCGCUGCGCCCUUCCGGCCCUCGGU